rnacentral:rRNA from 1 species
GACGAACGCUGGCGGCGUGCCUAAUACAUGCAAGUAGAACGCAGUUGCGAACGGGUGAGUAACGCGUAGGUAACUGCCUCAUAGCGGGGGAUAACUAUUGGAAACGAUAGCUAAUACCGCAUACUGUGAGAUGGACCUGCGUUGUAUUGGCUAGUUGGUGAGGUAAAGGCUCACCAAGGCGACGAUACAUAGCCGGCCUGGGAGGGUGAUCUGCCACAACGGGAAUGGGGAACGGCCCAGACCCCUACGGGGGGCAGCAGGAGGGGAACUUCGGCAAUGGGGGGAAGUCUGGACGAACAAAGCCGCGUGAGUGAAGGAGGUUUUCGGGUCGUAAAGGUCUGUUGUGAGAGAAGCGGUACCUACCCAGAAAGGACCGGCUAACUACGUGCCAGCAGCCGCGGUAAUAC